GUGGGGAAUUUUGGACAAUGGGCGCAAGCCUGAUCCAGCAAUGCCGCGUGCAGGAAGAAGGCCUUCGGGUUGUAAACUGCUUUUGUACGGAACGAAACGGUCCGGGUUAAUACCCUGGGCUAAUGACGGUACCGUAAGAAUAAGCACCGGCUAACUACGUGCCAGCAGCCGCGGUAAUACGUAGGGUGCAAGCGUUAAUCGGAAUUACUGGGCGUAAAGCGUGCGCAGGCGGUUUUGUAAGACAGGCGUGAAAUCCCCGGGCUCAACCUGGGAAUUGCGCUUGUGACUGCAAGGCUGGAGUGCGGCAGAGGGGGAUGGAAUUCCGCGUGUAGCAGUGAAAUGCGUAGAUAUGCGGAGGAACACCGAUGGCGAAGGCAAUCCCCUGGGCCUGCACUGACGCUCAUGCACGAAAGCGUGGGGAGCAAACAGGAUUAGAAACCCGAGUAGUAC
rnacentral:rRNA from 1 species